rnacentral:rRNA from 1 species
ACUGCUCAGUAACACGUGGAUAACCUGCCCUUGGGUCCGGCAUAACCCCGGGAAACUGGGGAUAAUUCCGGAUAACGCACAUAUGCUGGAAUGCUUUAUGCGUAAAAUGGAUUCGUCUGCCCAAGGAUGGGUCUGCGGCCUAUCAGGUAGUAGUGGGUGUAAUGUACCUACUAGCCAACAACGGGUACGGGUUGUGAGAGCAAGAGCCCGGAGAUGGAUCCUGAGACAUGAAUCCAGGCCCUACGGGGCGCAGCAGGCGCGAAAACUUUACAAUGCGGGAAACCGUGAUAAGGGGACACCGAGUGCCAGCAUCAUAUGCUGGCUGUCCGGGUGUGUAAAAUACACCUGUCAGCAAGGGCCGGGCAAGACCGGUGCCAGCCGCCGCGGUAACACCGGCGGCCCGAGUGGUGAUCGUGAUUAUUGGGUCUAAAGGGUCCGUAGCCGGUUUGGUCAGUCCUCCGGGAAAUCUGACGGCUCAACCGUUAGGCUUUCGGGGGAUACUGCCAGGCUUGGAACCGGGAGAGGUAAGAGGUACUACAGGGGUAGGAGUGAAAUCUUGUAAUCCCUGUGGGACCACCUGUGGCGAAGGCGUCUUACCAGAACGGGUUCGACGGUGAGGGACGAAAGCUGGGGGCACGAACCGGAUUAGAUACCCGGGUAGUCCCAGCCGUAAACGAUGCUCGCUAGGUGUCAGGCAUGGCGCGACCGUGUCUGGUGCCGCAGGGAAGCCGUGAAGCGAGCCACCUGGGAAGUACGGCCGCAAGGCUGAAACUUAAAGGAAUUGGCGGGGGAGCAC